AGUUUUUGAAGACAUCAUUCAAAAAGCAACAGUUUCUACAAGUUCAGCCUUCCAACUGCCAGAAAACAAGUCCUCUGACAUGACUCAUCAGCAAUAUUCAACAGCUUCGCAAGAUCUUGAAGAUACUCUAAUUGUUGCCCUGACCUUGUUAGAUGUUAGCUCAUGUCAGUCACUGGGUGAUAGUUUAAGUGAGAUAAUGUUCAAAGAGACAUCAGUGAUGAAGAUACAUGAUGAAGUACUGGGCCCUUUAGAAGUCUUUCAGAGCUCAGAUUUAUGUAAUUUAAUUUGUACUUUUCAGUUAAAAUAAAGGAUUUAAGAUACUCCAAACACAACUAGCAUUACAACUUUAUAACAGUAAACUACUAUGCUACAUUAUUAAGAUACUCCUAACACAGGAAGCAAUACAACUG